CGUGGGUGUUGGGUAUUAUGUCUCAGGCACAAGAAAACUGAUUAAUAUACUUUAUCUCCCAUCAACAAAAUGACCAUCCGAAGCUUCCUUCCAAGGCUACAAUGAUACAUUUCUUACCAGCGAUGACCUUGCCCCUACAGAAUGUUCUUUCAGUUCUCAGCUAUGUCAAAGGGCAAAUGAGUUAGUCAUUCAGUCUGCCAGGGUUUGCAUCCAUAAAAUGGGGAUAAGGAGCUGUUUGGGGCUCAGUUGUCAGCACCUCACUCUAAAAGAUGUUUGAAGGGGCGAUCUCUGGGUACUCAGAGCAAAGAUCCUAAAAUGAACAGGGCAAACCCUGCAAAAGCCACAUCCUAAUGUGAUCUGAACACUUUCAUUUCUGUAGUGUGUUCCACUUAGUUUUUCAGUGAUGGGUAUUUUGUAGAAGAACCUGAACAAGUCCUUUACCACCUGAGGAAGCACAUGUGGUUGUCUUGAUAAAAACAGACAGAAAUGCAUUCAGUCUGCUAGGGGAUAAGGUGCUGCAAUAGUUCCCUAGUACUGUGAUCACAAAUCACUACAAACCAGGUAGUUUAAAACAACAAAAAUUCAUCCUUUUCCAUUUCUGUGAGCCAGAUGUCCAAAGUCAAGAUGUCAGCAGGACCACACUCCCUCCAGGGGUUCAAGGGGGGACCUCUUCAGGCUCAGGCACCCCUUGGCUUGUGGUAGCAUCUCUCCAACCACUGCCCCACCUCCAUGUAACUGUCUUUGUGUGUGUCAGGUCCCUCUGAGCUUGUCUCUUCUAAGGAAUUUGUGACCCACCAAGAUAAUCAAUAAUAGUAUCUAUCAAUCACACCUCUGGCCUAUAAGUUAAUAUUCAUUCUUUUACUAUAUUAGAUAUUAUUAAAAAGUAUAUCUUUGGAAGAAUUUUAUUCAGGCUGAUCACAGGUGUAGUAAAGUGCUCAUAACUCCCUCUAGAGAAAUGCCAAAUGACAGUUUUAGCUGGAUGCCACAGUCCAGAUUCAGGGGUGAAGUGGGAUUAGUCACUGCAUCAGUGCCUUGUCACCAAUGGUCAGGGGACCCACUAGGGCAGUACUUCCAGCCAAGGUAAGGUGGCGACAAGCUCAGGUUCUAGGACCAGAUCCCCUAAAAUGAAAUCUGUUCUGCCACCUUUGAGCUGCAUGAACUUCAGCAAACGAUCUGUCUGCUUUGGUGGUGGUUGUGCCUCAGUUUCCUCGUCGGCCAUAGGAGCCCAAGCAGCACGCCUCAGGGAGGCAGUGAGAGAUGAAACGAGUCUGUGUGCAUGUUGAGCACACGGUCCUACUCCUUGGCACACCACAAACAUGGAACAGGUUGCCUGUUGAUAUGGUGUUUGUUUACCAGUGAGGAAACAGGGGCCCGAUGAAGUUCAGCAUCACUGCCAAACUCAGAGAUCUAAUCAGGGGAAGAGACAAAGGCCAGGCUUGACUGCCCCCUGUGUCUUGCUCAGCUACCAUGAUAUGCCCUUUCACCUCUGGAAACACAGGACAGAAGGUCCCAUUCAGAGAGCCUGGCGGGUCUUCUUUAAUUUCAGACAUUAUUUGGGUGUGUUAAAUUGAGUGUGUUAAGAGCAUGGGUUUAUUUACACUUUAAGUUUUCUCUCCAGGUAUUGGAGUAUAAUAGGAAAAUUCGCUGGACAGAACAAAUUCUCUGAAAUGCACACAGAUUUUUCAGCACCUUAGCCCGGGAGAAAGCAGAAAUCCCUGCACAGAACUCCACAGUCAAGAGGUUGACUUCUGCAAGCAAACCUGGAGCUGUCAGUAGCCUUCCUCCUUGACAUGGGCCAACUUCCACCAAAGAAAAAAGAAGUCGAAGAACCUAUGUUUCAUCAACACCUUCUGCUAAAUUCUCCUGUGGCCCUGCACCUGGUACCCACACUCCUGACUGCACUGUUACUCCGUGCUGUAGUGAGCAUAUGGACACAUUGUUUAUCUUGAAGUUCCUUGAAGAAGCAGUGAGAAGAGAUGGAGAUUGAUGCACUGGUGCUGGGGGUCCUCAGGGUUCCUGGUUUCCUUGAGGACAGCUGGAAGAAGCCCCAUAGUGGGUGUCCCAGGAGUCAGCCACAGCAACAAGCGGAGCUUGCUCAAGCCACAAGGCUGGAAAGGACACUAGAAAGGGACCAUGGGGAAUUCCCCUGGGGCCUCAGAAUUAAGACUCCAGACAAGCUCGAGGUUGCUGAGGGAGACAAAGACAAUUCUUGAUUUGUAGCAAGAGGUGAUCUUAUGGGCAGAGGGCUGCUUGGAGCACUGGCUACUGGUCACCAGGAAAGGACACCUUGGAGUGUGUCUGCUACCUCCUCUCUCUGUCCUACUCUAAGAAAGAGGAGUGAGGACAUGAAGGUGGCUCUUAAAAAUAAAAUCA